rnacentral:tRNA from 1 species
GCCUGGGUGGCUCAGUCGGUUAAGCGUCUGACUUCGGCUCAGGUCAUGAUCUCACAGUCUGUGAGUUCGAGCCCCACGUCGGGCU